rnacentral:misc_RNA from 1 species
CUCGGCUGACGGACGAGAACGGUUCAGUAAGGUUUGUUCCAUGAUAGAGGGAGGUUGCGUCGGACUCCCGCUCCACCCAGAGAACGCUGCUCCCAGCGCUGUAUAUUCGUAAUAACAUUGCCGUCUGUUGAGUGCCUCGCCUUUUAGUGUUACGUGCGUGUUGGCUCCAGAAUAGCAAGGACUGCAUCAUAUUACUUCCAGAAACGGGUAAUUAGUGAUUGAAGAGAGCUUAUCGAGUGUUACUAAGUGAGGGCAGGUGAGGUUUUGUAGGCGUGGGUGUGUCACUGAACCAAUCACACCAACGCCUCCCCGACCACGCUCCCUCCAUGCCCACGCCUCCACACGCUCCACGCUGCUGGGGAAUGUGGAUCAAGGUGUGAAAGUGUGUGUGUGUGUGUAAGAAACUUGCUCUUUUCCUGGAUCUUCUUCGGACUGUGGGUGAGGCAAUACUAACAGUUAACCUGAAACUUGAACUGUCCUACAUACGGAGAAGUUUCUAUUCCUGGCAUGUCGUCAUAACGGUGAUUGGGAUUGGAAAAGACUAACGCCGCACGCCGCCUCCACCACUCAAAGCCGUACGCAGGAUUACAAAGGAUAGCAAGUAGAAGCACGUCUCUAAAUCCUUCUUGUGUUGCCUGAUUGCAUUGUACUAACGAGGAGAGGCAGGAUAGUGCAGUGGGAGGCUUUAUGCGUUGAAAUGUAACGUAGUGGUACAGUACAUCCUUUCAAUGACUCGAGUGAGGGACUUUCAAUCUUGCAAGCGACUCCCCGCCAUCGGCGUAUAUGGUAAUGACGUGAGAGUAGGCCAUAAUACCACCACCACCACCGCCACUGCAGUAAUGGCAGCAAGAAUGUGGAUGGUGUGGGCGGUAUGGGCUACGGCGGUGGUUGCGGUGACUUGGGUGCCGACGGUUGGGGCGACGGCGCUCAGAGGACCUAAUGUUUGCAACAAACAAGAAACGUACACAAGUUUUGUGAAUGUGUCUUACUCCAAAGCCUACCAAGUUCGAACGUACACAUUCUGCUUAAGUAUUCCACCCAAAUGCUCCAAGUACAAGAUAGCUUACAAGACUUCAUUUAAAAGACAGAGUCAGACCAAGACAAGGACUGUAAAUGUGUGUUGCUCAGGGUACACCAGAGUGCCAGCUGAGGAUAGGUGUAUGCCCAUCUGCUCCCAGGACUGUAUACAUGGGAUCUGCAUCAAGCCAGAUGAGUGCCGCUGUGAAGCUGGCUACUCAGGCCCUAGCUGUAAUAUAAGUGAGCUCGUGGUCUCUGGUAAUGACUCCCUCACAGAUGACUCACUCCACAGUCAUAACUUAUCGUGUCCUGAGGGGAAAUGGGGAGUGGGGUGCGUCCACGACUGUCCAUGCCUCCAUGAAGGGAAGUGUGACCCACUGUAUGGAAACUGUUCCUGUCAUGCUGGCUGGAUUGGACCAUACUGUGAAGAAAAGUGUCAAGAGGGAUACUAUGGAGUGGAUUGCAAAGACCGGUGUCGCUGUCAGAAUGGAGGGACAUGUGACCAUGUGUCUGGUGCGUGUCGCUGUCCCCCAGGUUGGACAGGACCCCUGUGUGAAAAAUCCUGCCCUGAGGGAACGCAUGGUGCUGCCUGCAGUAGCAAGUGCCAGUGUCAGAACGGUGGCCACUGUGAUCAUGUUACAGGGAAGUGCCAGUGUCCUGCAGGAUGGACAGGAGAUGUUUGUGCAAAUCCUUGUCCUCAAGGUACUUGGGGUUAUAAUUGCUCAGAACAAUGUGAUUGCUACAAUUCUGCAACUUGUGAUCACAAAACUGGCCGCUGUAAAUGCCCAUCAGGUUACAUUGGCAACAAGUGUCAAGAUGAAUGUCCACUAGGCACCUAUGGUGUAAACUGUACAGAGACUUGUUCUUGUUACAAUGGAGCAACAUGUUCACACAUAAGUGGCCGUUGUUUCUGCAAAGAAGGUUGGCUGGGAACUCAGUGUUCCAUACCUGCUUGUCCACCAAACCAGUAUGGUCCAGGCUGUUCCCAUAUUUGUUCCUGUGAAAAGGAUAACACUGAAAGGUGUCAUCCAUGGACUGGAGCCUGCGAGUGUAAGGCUGGAUGGGCAGGAGAGACUUGUACAAGAGCAUGUCCUUUCUACAAAUAUGGAGAGAAAUGUGCUCAAAGUUGUCAGUGUAGAAAUGGAGCAUUCUGUGAUCCAGUUGACGGUACCUGCAUAUGUGCACCAGGCUACCAUGGGGCAUUGUGUGAUGAACACUGUCCUAAGUUUAAAUAUGGACAAAAAUGUGAGCUUGACUGUCGGUGUGAUAAUUCACAUGGCUGCUCACAUGAGUCAGGGAAGUGUUUCUGCAAGCCAGGAUGGGAAGGACAACAGUGCUCUCUCACUUGUCCACUUGGAAGUUAUGGAGAAAAUUGUUCUAAAACAUGUGACUGUCUCAAUAAUGGAUCAUGUGAUCCGGUGACAGGAGAAUGUAGCUGUGGUCCUGGACAUUAUGGAGAGAAAUGUGAAAAAACUUGUAGCCAGGGAAAUCAUGGAAUGGCUUGUGGAAACGUAUGUGCCUGUGUUGGGCCUCAUGUGGAAGGCUGUGAUGCUGAAACUGGCAGGUGUAUAUGCAAGCCUGGCUUUAGAGGUGUCAGUUGUCAAUCACACUGCCCACGUGGCUUCUAUGGAGAAUCUUGUUUGAAAAAAUGUGACUGCAAGAACAAUGGAUCUUGCAACUUUCAGACAGGGAAAUGUGUAUGUGAGCGUGGAUGGCAUGGAGCUGACUGUAAUACUCCAUGUCGGCCUGGGAAAUAUGGAGUAAAUUGUAAUCAGGACUGUCCUCCUUGUGUGCAUGGAAAUGGAACAUGUCACCCACAGCUAGGGACAUGUGUGUGCAAGGCUGGAUGGCGUGGUCCUCGCUGUGACCGCACAUGUGCACCAGGUACCUGGGGAAUUGGUUGUGCUAAUACUUGCAAGUGUCGCAAUGGAGCAGGAUGCAAUCAUGAGACAGGUCAGUGUUUGUGUUUGCCAGGCUGGAGAGGAAUAGACUGUUCACAGCCUUGUCCUCCAGGAAGUUUCGGUUACAAUUGCCUUCAGACCUGUCAUUGUCGCAACCAUGCAUCUUGUCGAGGAAGUGAUGGCUUCUGUGAAUGCAAGCCAGGAUGGAUGGGAUUUGGAUGCACUCAAACCUGCCCUGAGGGUUCCUUUGGUCGUCAAUGUUUCAAUGUUUGCAACUGCAGUACAGAAAACUCUAUUUGUCAUCCUGUCCAAGGCUGUAAGUGCCGCUAUGGAUUUGAAGGAGACAUGUGCGACAUCCCUAUCACUAGCCCAAUAUUCAAGGACAAAGACCCUGUCCUGCCUAAGCAGUCAACACAUAACAAUGCUGGACUCAUUGUGGGUGUUGUCUCCAUUAUCCUAAUCACUGUUGUGAUUGCUAUUAUCAUCUACUACAGGCGGCGACUGGUGCGUCUGAAACGCGAGUUAGCAGUGGUGCAGUACAUAGCUGAUCCAGCUGCUACAGAACGUCCCAGGCCUUCUGAGAACCGAGACAGUGCAAAGCUACGUUCUUCUUCUACUAAGCUUUCACAAAAGUCUGGACAACCUGUAGCAAAAAGGUGGAGUUCAAUAGCAGACCAACACCACUUUGACAAUCCUGUUUAUGCUUACCAGUCGGUGAGCAAAUCACAACCCAACCUACUUGAAAAUGGUAAUUUAAAUAAUGGUGUCACCAUCAAGAAUAAUCUCUCACUCAAGGAUGAUAAAAAUAGAGAGUGGGAGAAACUGGGCACCUUCACUUUUCAUGAUGAUGCAUGCAGUUUAGGAGCAGUUGGGGGUCACUAUGACGUGCCAUCAACACUACAACGACAAGCUCGUGUAAAAGCAUUAGAAGCAGAUGCCACAAAUCCAAACCUUAAUAUUUACCACUCUAUUGAGAGCCUGAAAGACAAUCGUCUAGUAGAGCACGUGUAUGAUGAGAUAAAGCAGCGGCCACCACCACAAAAAGAUCCAGUGUUCACAGUAUUCAGACGGAGCGGCUCGUGUAAGUUUGGCGCAUAUUAGUUGACGCCACGGUGCACCCAAGAAUUGUGCAAUACUUCGUUCCUGUUAGAGGAAUGUGAAUAUGACCACUUGACGUAUUCACGUCCACUGGGUGAAGUGAAGCCACACUACUACACUAUGGCAUCCCAGUUGCACAGGUCAGCUGACCAGCUGGCUGAGGAGGUAUUACCCAAUGGGAAGCCAGCUGCUG